CAAAAAGUACCUGCAAAUAUUCACAGAACUAUUUGCGUAAUGGCCCAAAAAUGGAAACAAUCCAUUGUUCACUGGUGAGUGGAUAGAUAAAAUGUGCUGUAUCCAUAUGACAGAGGACUUGGCAAAACAGAAAAAAGGAAAAAGGAAGGAAGCACUACGCUUGGCACCACGUGGGUGAACCUUGGGAGCACAGGCUGCGAUUCUGUCGUAUGUCCGGGCUUCCCACACGUGACCUCGUCAGCUCAUCCUUCAGAGACAGCUGAAGACAGCUCAGGUGCCUGCAAGACGCAGCGUCUGAAGGCAGUGACGGGGGAUCUGAGUGUGAGGUCUAGAAGCUCUGGACAGUCCUGGUGGGGAAGCCUCUAAACGGAGAUGAAAAGAAAGCAAGGUCGCAGAAGCAGCCCCAUGCAUGGGCCUUCUCUGGAGAAAAGAAACGCAAAGUUAAAACCGCCUCAAGUAAUUACGAGUGGGAAUACGUCAGAGGAUACGACACCGCUUGUCCGCCGGGGAGUGCCCUGCUCGAUUUCUGCUUGUGACGUGGCAUAAAUACAGCCCAAACCAAACCCUAGUACUUGAUGGGAAAACGGUGUCACGGAGAAAACUGUUGUUCAUCUCUAAAACCCAUCCUGGUGCACACGAAAAUCCAGAGACCCAACUCAAAAUCUUCUCUCAUCACGGAGAUAGGAGAACGGUUUCCAGAUGGCAUCUGAGAUACACAGCUUAUCAUUACAUCAAGGAGCAGGCCCGCUCCAACCACAUCCAAGUGAACCACAGAUCCACAAAUCUAUGCCUGGGCAAGUUUGGCUUUUACGGUUUGCCUGGAACGUUCCUGGACCUGCCGCUGUGGUUUCUGGGCUCUCCCCAGGCUAGGCCUUGAGAUUACGCUGAUCAGCCUGGAACCAGGCAAUGUUUCAGGCGCAUGACAACUUCUAACCCCUUUCUGCCUCAUCGUGUUUUCCCCAGGCUGGCCAGGUGGAACACGAAAUUACAUCAAAACAUCAUGGUGUCAUCUUCAAAGUAUUCCGUUUUCCUCUUCCUCUGUGACCCUGGAUCUGCAGAAAACCCUGAGUUGUGUAAUUUAAACUAAGUAGGGCUGGGCAUUUCAAAGAGGUUGAGCAUGGAGAGAAUGUAAGGAUUUGGCUGCAAGGAACAGAAAGUUCAAAAUGCCAGUAGCUCCAACAAAUGGGAGCUUACAGAUCUCUCCCGUUAAACCCCGAUGGCAGGACAGCCUGCCUCUCACAGAGAGCCUUGGCAAACCUGCCAGGAGAGCGAGAUCUUUCCAUCCAGCAUCAAGCUUCCCCACUCCCAGCACACAUGGUCUCCAAACUUGUCCAGGACAGCUGCUUGGAUUCUAGACAUCCCAACCCCUUCCUAGGCAACAAGUAUGAUAGGUGGUGGUGUGUUUUGUUUUGUUUUUUUUAAUGCCUCUUUUGAAAAAAAAAUAUUUGAUUUAUAGAGGAUGAGAUGGUUGGAUGGCAUCACCAACUCAAUGGACGUGAGAUUGGAUAAACUCCAGGAGUUGGUGAUGGACAGAGAGGCCUGGCGUGCUGCAGUCCAUGGGGCUGCAAAGAGUCAGACACAACUGAGCGACUGAACUGAACUGAACUGAACUGAAUGGCUCUGCUGGGCCUUCGUUGUGGUUCACGGGCCAUUCAUUGCUGCGAUCAGGCUUCCUCGAGUUGCAGUGAGAGAGGGCUGCUCUUCCGUUGAGGUGUGCGGGCUUCUCAUGGCGGUGGCUUCUGUCGUGGAGUAUGGGCUCUAGGCAGGUGGGAUUCAGGGUUGUGGUUCCCGGGUUUAGUGCCCCCUCGGCAUGCGGGAUCUUAGUGCCUGGACCAGGGAUUGAACCUGUGUCUCCAGAAUGGGCAGGUGGAUUCCUAACCACUGGACCACCGGAUAAGUCCCAAUAAUGGUUCUUAAUAAUGGUCCCCAGUGAUCCACCCUCCUGUGUCUGCACACCUUUGCAAUAUCAAGGACACUGCCUCUCCUUCCAUCAAGACGUGGGGUCUAUUUCCCCACCCUUGAAAUCCAGAUUGAUACAGUUUGUCAGUAGUGACGUGUGCGCUCCAGAACCCAGGCCUUAAAAGGUCUUGAAGCUUUCCUUCUUGAAAUCCUCAUAUCCAUUUUUGUGAUAAAGUCCACCUAGCCUGUGGGAAAGCAAGACACCUUGGGGAGAAGAACAGAGGAGCCUCAGCAACCAGACAUGACCACGAGGCCAUCUUGGAUCCUACAGGCAGAUCAGCGUAAGAAAACUAUCAAAUUGCCAGCCCAUAGAAUCGCAAACAAUAAUAAACGGCACUGAUUUUAGCCACUAACUCCGAGUGGAUGGGUCCACAGCAACGGAUGACAGUAAACAGGAGAAACGGAAGUAAAAAUCAUGUGCGGCGCCCUCUUUGAUGGAACUUUACAGACGCUUCCAGGCAGCACUGCUGUUUAUGUCUUUUUGGCCACCAUCAGCUGCAAGGGAGGUCGCAUGAACUAAGUCAUUUCAAUCGUGUCUAGCUCUUUGUGACCUAUGGAUGUAGCCCACCAGGCUCCUCUGUCCGUGGGAUUCUCCAGGCAAGAAUACUGGAGUGGAUUGCCAUUUCCUUCUCCAGGGGAGCUUCCCAGCCCAGGGAUGGAACCUGCGUCUCUUAUGUCUCCUGAGUGGCAGGCAGGUUCUCAGCACUACUGCCACCUGGGAAGCAAGGGAGGUCAGGGGGUGUGGUCUUUCUGUGGGCAGCUGGGGGCCCAGCUAUCAGCAAGGGGAUGGGUGACUAAGGAAGAGCUGAUAUCGGGGUAAACAGCCAGUACUCUGAGACCAAGGAAAGAUCAGCCUUGCCACAACCAAAGAUCCCACAUGCCUUAACUAAGACCCGGUGCAGUCAAAUAAAUACAUCUAAAAAAAAAAAAAAGACAAGUGAUUUCUGUGGUCUCUCAGUACCGAACCCCAAAGAAGGUCCUCAGGUGAGCUGUCCCCAGUUCUCCCACGCGUGAUGGGAGGGCCUCUCCUUAUAAGCAAUGUCUGCCUUCUGCAGAGGCCUUGCUCACUCUGAAAGCUGGUAGAGCCCCUGACUUACUAGGCACCCCAGCCUCAGGGGAUGUGGGGGCUUCCAGGAGGUGCCGCGUAUAUGCUCUUCAGAGAAUCCAGGACCAGACUCCCGUCCUCCACAUAUGCACUUUCCUAAAGUGGUUAGAGUGAAG
ensembl:lncRNA